rnacentral:rRNA from 1 species
UACGUAGGCAGCGAGCGUUGUUCGGAGUUACUGGGCGUAAAGCGUGCGUAGGCGGUGGUCCAAGUCUGGUGUGAAAUCUCCCGGCUCAACUGGGAGGGUGCGCCGGAAACUGGGCCGCUGGAGUAUGGGAGAGGCAAGCGGAAUUCCAGGUGUAGCGGUGAAAUGCGUAGAUAUCUGGAGGAACACCCGUGGUGCAGACGGCUUGCUGGACCAUGACUGACGCUGAGGCACGAAAAGCGUGGGUAGCAAACAGG